rnacentral:rRNA from 1 species
AAGCAGAGGGGGCUUAGUGGUGGGGUGACUGCGUACCUUUUGUAUAAUGGGUCAGCGACUUAUAUUCUGUAGCAAGGUUAACCGAAUAGGGGAGCCGGAGGGAAACCGAGUCUUAACCGGGCGUUAAGUUGCAGGGUAUAGACCCGAAACCCGGUGAUCUAGCCAUGGGCAGGUUGAAGGUUGGGUAACACUAACUGGAGGACCGAACCGACUAAUGUUGAAAAAUUAGCGGAUGACCUGUGGCUGGGGGUGAAAGGCCAAUCAAACCGGGAGAUAGCUGGUUCUCCCCGAAAGCUAUUUAGGUAGCGCCUCGUGAAUUCAUCUCCGGGGGUAGAGCACUGUUUCGGCUAGGGGGCCAUCCCGGCUUACCAACCCGAUGCAAACUGCGAAUACCGGAGAAUGUUAUCACGGGAGACACACGGCGGGUGCUAACGUCCGUCGUGAAGAGGGAAACAACCCAGACCGCCAGCUAAGGUCCCAAAGUCAUGGUUAAGUGGGAAACGAUGUGGGAAGGCCCAGACAGCCAGGAUGUUGGCUUAGAAGCAGCCAUCAUUUAAAGAAAGCGUAAUAGCUCACUGGUCGAGUCGGCCUGCGCGGAAGAUGUAACGGGGCUAAACCAUGCACCGAAGCUGCGGCAGCGAACGUAUCACUUAAAGCGAUUCAGCGGGUUACGAUUGACGGAGCGAAGCGACGUCAAAGCGUAUACAAAGUCGAGUCGGUUUAAGGAUACGUUCGUUGGGUAGGGGAGCGUUCUGUAAGCCUGUG